rnacentral:rRNA from 1 species
AACGAACGCUGGCGGCAGGCCUAACACAUGCAAGUCGAGCGCGCCCUUCGGGGUGAGCGGCGGACGGGUGAGUAACGCGUGGGAACGUGCCCUUCUCUGCGGAAUAGCCUCGGGAAACUGAGAGUAAUACCGCAUACGCCCUUUGGGGGAAAGAUUUAUCGGAGAAGGAUCGGCCCGCGUUGGAUUAGGUAGUUGGUGGGGUAAUGGCCCACCAAGCCGACGAUCCAUAGCUGGUUUGAGAGGAUGAUCAGCCACACUGGGACUGGGACACGGCCCAGACUCCUACGGGAGGCAGCAGUGGGGAAUCUUAGACAAUGGGGGCAACCCUGAUCUAGCCAUGCCGCGUGAGUGAUGAAGGCCUUAGGGUUGUAAAGCUCUUUCAGCUGGGAAGAUAAUGACGGUACCAGCAGAAGAAGCCCCGGCUAACUCCGUG